CCCUUAGAUGUUCUGGGCUGCACGCGCGCUACACUGAUGCGCUCAACGAGUUUUAACCUUGCCUGGAAAGGUUGGGUAAUCUUUUUAAAACGCAUCGUGAUGGGGAUAGAUUAUUGCAAUUAUUAAUCUUCAACGAGGAAUUCCUAGUAAGCGCGAGUCAUCAGCUCGUGCUGAUUACGUCCCUGCCCUUUGUACACACCGCCCGUCGCUCCUACCGAUUGAAUGGUCCGGUGAAGCGUUCGGACCGUGGCCUUUGGACGGUUCGCCGUCUGUUGGCUGCGGGAAGUUCGUUAAACCUUAUCAUUUAGAGGAAGGAGAAGUCGUAACA
rnacentral:rRNA from 1 species